rnacentral:rRNA from 1 species
UUUUGGACAAUGGGCGCAAGCCUGAUCCAGCAAUGCCGCGUGCAGGAUGAAGGCCUUCGGGUUGUAAACUGCUUUUGUACGGAGCGAAAAGGCUUCCACUAAUACUGGGGGCUCAUGACGGUGCCGUAAGAAUAAGCACCGGCUAACUACGUGCCAGCAGCCGCGGUAAUACGUAGGGUGCAAGCGUUAAUCGGAAUUACUGGGCGUAAAGCGUGCGCAGGCGGUUAUGUAAGACAGAUGUGAAAUCCCCGGGCUUAACCUGGGAACUGCAUUUGUGACUGCAUGGCUAGAGUACGGUAGAGGGGGAUGGAAUUCCGCGUGUAGCAGUGAAAUGCGUAGAUAUGCGGAGGAACACCGAUGGCGAAGGCAAUCCCCUGGAUCCUGUACUGACGCUCAUGCACGAAG